rnacentral:rRNA from 1 species
CCUACGGGAGGCAGCAGUGAGGAAUAUUGGUCAAUGGACGGGAGACUGAACCAGCCAAGCCGCGUGCGGGAGGAAGGUACUGAGUAUCGUAAACCUCUUUUGUCCGGGGACAAAGGCGGGGACUAGUAUCUGUCUGAGGGUACCUUAAGAAAAAGCAUCGGCUAACUCCGUGCCAGCAGCCGCGGUAAUACGGAGGAUGCGAGCGUUAUCCGGAUUUAUUGGGUUUAAAGGGUGCGGAGGCGGCCUGUUAAGUCAGCGGGAAAAUCCCGGGGCUCAACCCCGGCGAGCCGUUGAAACUGGCGGGCUGGAGUUGGAGAGAAGUACGCGGAAUGCGCGGUGUAGCGGUGAAAUGCUUAGAUAUCACGCAGAACCCCGAUUGCGAAGGCAGCGUACCG